GCUUGUCUCAAAGAUUAAGCCAUGCAUGUCUAAGUAUGAAUGUUAUACAGUGAAACUGCGAAUGGCUCAUUAAAACAGUUAUUGUUUAUUUGAUAAUCAAAUUUACAUGGAUAACCGUGGUAAUUCUAGAGCUAAUACAUGCUGAUAUGCCUGACUCUUAGGAAGGGCUGUAUUUAUUAGAUAACAAACCAAUAUUCCUCGUGUCUAUUGUGAUGACUCAUAAUAACUGAUCGAAUCGCAUGGACUUUGUCCGCGAUACAUCAUUCAAGUUUCUGCCCCAUCAGCUUUCGAUGGUAGUGUAUUGGACUACCAUGGCUUUAACGGGUAACGGAGGAUUAGGGUUCGAUUCCGGAGAGGGAGCCUGAGAAACGGCUACCACAUCUAAGGAAGGCAGCAGGCGCGUAAAUUACCCAAUCCUAAUUCAGGGAGGUAGUGACAAGAAAUAACGGACUGAGGCCUACGCUUCAGGAUUGCAAUGAGUAGAAUUAAACCCCUUGCGAG
rnacentral:rRNA from 1 species